rnacentral:lncRNA from 1 species
GUACAGGUAACAUUUUUAAGUUUACCAAAACGAGCUCUCCACAAGUCAUAAGUUAAAGUGCCUGCCUCAGUCACUUUGUGAACAUUGUCCGGAACAUCUUCUUCCUGACAUUUGUUCCUUGAGACCGUGUUCUGUCCUGACUUUCUGCUGUCAUAGCAUUCAUGAGAACAAUGUAUCCAUUGGCGUUCCUUUUAUUCAAAUUAGUAAUUAUCUAGACAAUUCUGUUGUGGACAAUAAAGAUGCUACAUCCUCGAUGUUUCGUCUUAUGUUCAACACCAUUUAGAUCUCGAGUCUUUGGAUCACUUCUCUGUGUAUGUUGUAUGCUUUAUCUUUAGUUUUUUCUGAGUUGCUCCACCACAUUGCUUUCCAUUUAUUUUCUCCAAUUCCUUCUUUUACUGCAUCUUUCCCCCCCUUUUGUGCAAUUAGCUUGGUUGUGUGGAGUUUUGAAAUAUAGUUUUGAUGAGCAUUUUUAUUGGCAUCGACGAUUCCAUUUCAUCUCUAUUGUAAGUGUCCAAUUCUCUACUAGUCAAUGAUAUUGUUCUUUUGCUAGCAUUUCCUUCAAGGUUUUGUUAGAAAGCACUCGAAUCAGCUGAUCUUCUAUUCUCUUUCACUGUGACAACGUCAUGUGAGUAUUGAGAUUAACAGUUAGGCCAAAAUUUCACGGUGGCAUCCUAAUAAGUUUGCCCACCAGUCUAGGUUACAAGUCAGCCUAGUUGAUGUCAUCCAUUAUUGGGUAAAUCAUCGUUCUUACUCAUUGAGAAAGCUGCAACAGUAAUUAAUACUCGCGUGGAAUUCUGCCAUUGUCCUCCCUCAUCCAUUUGGCACUCAAAACUUGUAUUACUUUCUUGUUGGCUUCAUUCAAUAUGUUUGAAUUAAGUGUAUUCCAAAGGGCGGGUGACCUAAUAACUGUUCUUGUUAUUAGUUUGUGGUCAAAGUAGUUUAUUUUGGGGCUUUGCCUUGUUUAAUUAUUGGUGCAGCGGUGGUCAUGAAUGCCUGUGCUGUUGUAGAUGUUUGAACUUUUAUCUGGUGUACCUUACACGUGAAAUUAUAUAUAUAUUUUUUCGGUAUUGUUUUCUAUUUGCGAGGAGCUUCUUUACGAGGUCGGGCACUUCUUUUUU